UGUAUUAUUGUAUUAUAAACAUCAUUACUUAUGAAUUAAGUUUUGUAAUAGGUGAUUCUCCAAGAUGGUCCGGUGAGUCGCGCGGGCCACUUGUAAGUCAUCGUGAGUUGCCACUUGGGACCCGACCACACUUCUCUCACACCUGUCUUCUAGGUUAUCAAUAUUUAGCAGAACUGCUCACCUUAAGCAGAAGGGAAACAUUUCCUGCUAAUUUUCGUCCAGUGGAUGACAGGACAAGACCGUAAAUAACGCAGUAAAGCUUUCACAGGAGCGUGGACGGUCAGUAGUGGAGAGGCAGCGAGGGAGAGCGGCCGGUCCUCCGUCCCGGGUGUAGCUUACUGACACACUGUUACACUGUCAGCAGAAUGGCUUGGGGUUCAUUGACAGGAAGGACAUCAAUGAAGAUUGCUGGAAAAGGUCUGAAAAUUCUCUGGAACCGAUGCAGACCAUGUGUUGUUGCUGCCAUUGUUGUUGUUGGUGCCAUCAAAAUCACCACUUAUAUUAAAAGGCAGAAUAGAAGGAAGUUGUGGAAUAAUGUUGGGAAAGAUGUUGUGGUGUUGCACAUGUUCGACCGUGGCCGCUACUGUCCAAAUUUAUCUCCAUUCGUGGUCAAAUUGGAGACAUACCUACGAAUGGCUGAGAUCCCUUACCAGGUGGAUUAUGAAGAGCCAUUUGGACCUAAGGGUAAAUCUCCAUGGAUUACUCUCAAUGGGGAAGAAAUAGGGGAUUCUCAGCUGAUAAUGGAGAAGUUAGGGCCAUUGUAUAACAAGGAUUUCAGUUCUACUCUAACACAAGAACAGAAGGCAGUUGCCCAUUUCAUGAGGCUAAUGAUUGAAGACCAUUUCCUAUGGUGCUUUGUGGUUUGGCGCUACACUGUAGAUGGUGGUCGUACGUUUGUAAAUGGCAUGGAGUUGCCCAUUUUUAUGCGCUUGUUUGUUCCAAGCUUAGUGAAGAGAGUAAAGCACAUGACAAAAAUGCAAGGUAUUGGCCUACACAGCCAUACUGAAGUGGAGGAGAUGGGGAGAAAAGAUAUUGCUGCACUCUCUGUCUACCUUGGUGUAACAUCAUGUGGAGAUGGGUAUUCGAUUCUGCAUGUGGAGUGUCCUCUCUCAAUGACUGGAGGACGUGGUUGCCAUUUCAUUGGUUUUACCGUCCUCUUGUAGGCUAUUUGCUUUAUGCUCAGGCAUAUAUGCAAGGCAUUGGCCGACAUUCUCAAGUUGAAGUGCUUGCUAUGGGACAUACGGAUCUUCAGACACUAGCUAUUUUUCUGGGGGACAAACAGUACCUGAUGGGUGAGGAACCAGCUGAAGUGGAUUGUUCAGUCUUUGGAAUGCUGUCACAGAUUGUAUGGAACUCUCCAAACUCUCCCUACCUCAGGAUGCUCGACAAUGAAUUCACCAAUC
rnacentral:misc_RNA from 1 species